GCCUGGCUGGCUCAGUUGGUAAAGCAGGAGACUCUUGAUCUCCAGGUCGUGAGUUCAAGCCCCACACUGGGCC